rnacentral:rRNA from 1 species
GAUGAACGCUGGCGGCGUGCCUAAUACAUGCAAGUCGAGCGAACAGACGAGGAGCUUGCUCCUCUGACGUUAGCGGCGGACGGGUGAGUAACACGUGGAUAACCUACCUAUAAGACUGGGAUAACUUCGGGAAACCGGAGCUAAUACCGGAUAAUAUAUUGAACCGCAUGGUUCAAUAGUGAAAGACGGUUUUGCUGUCACUUAUAGAUGGAUCCGCGCCGCAUUAGCUAGUUGGUAAGGUAACGGCUUACCAAGGCGACGAUGCGUAGCCGACCUGAGAGGGGGAUCCGGCAACCGGGAACGGGAAACCGGUCCAGACCCCCACGGGGGGGAGAGGGGGGGAAUUUUGCGCAAGGGGGGAAAGGCGGAGAGGGGAAACCCCGGGGGGGUAAGAAGGGGUUCGGGUUGGAAAACCUUUUUUUUGGGGAAAAAAAAAAUUUGGAGAAAACUGAGACGUUUUGAAGGUACCCAAAUAAAAAGCCCCGGCUAACUACGUG